rnacentral:ribozyme from 14 species
UUUUUUUUUUUUUUUUUUUGUCGUUUUGUUGUGUUUUGCUUUUGGGGGUUUUUCGUGAGUGAGUGUGUGCAGAAGGACUGUCACUGAGAGGGGUGGUGAAAGAGGUGGAUGAAAAGGCAAAGGGACUUGUGGUUUUGCUUUU